rnacentral:rRNA from 1 species
GAUGAACGCUGGCGGCGUGCCUAAUACAUGCAAGUCGAGCGAACAGACGAGGAGCUUGCUCCUCUGACGUUAGCGGCGGACGGGUGAGUAACACGUGGAUAACCUACCUAUAAGACUGGGAUAACUUCGGGAAACCGGAGCUAAUACCGGAUAAUAUAUUGAACCGCAUGGUUCAAUAGUGAAAGACGGUUUUGCUGUCACUUAUAGAUGGAUCCGCGCCGCAUUAGCUAGUUGGUAAGGUAACGGCUUACCAAGGCAACGAUGCGUAGCCGACCUGAGAGGGGGAUCGGCCACCCUGGAAGUGAGACACGGUCCAGACGCCUACGGGAGGCAGCAGUAGGGACUCUUCCGCAAUGGGCGAAAGCCUGACGGAGCAACGCCGCGUGAGGGAUGAAGGUCUUCGGAUCGUAAAACUCUGUUAUUAGGGAAGAACAAAUGUGUAAGUAACUAUGCACGUCUUGACGGUACCUAAUCAGAAAGCCACGGCUAACUACGUG